GAUGAACGCUGGCGGCGUGUCUAAUACAUGCAAGUCGAGCGAACAGACGAGGAGCUUGCUCCUCUGACGUUAGCGGCGGACGGGUGAGUAACACGUGGAUAACCUACCUAUAAGACUGGGAUAACUUCGGGAAACCGGAGCUAAUACCGGAUAAUAUAUUGAACCGCAUGGUUCAAUAGUGAAAGACGGUUUUGCUGUCACUUAUAGAUGGAUCCGCGCCGCAUUAGCUAGUUGGUAAGGUAACGGCUUACCAAGGCAACGAUGCGUAGCCGACCUGAGAGGGUGAUCGGCCACACUGGAACUGAGACACGGUCCAGACUCCUACGGGAGGCAGCAGUAGGGAAUCUUCCGCAAUGGGCGAAAGCUUGACGGAGCAACGCCGCGUGAGUGAUGAAGGUCUUCGGAUCGUAAAACUCUGUUAUUAGGGAAGAACAAAUGUGUAAGUAACUAUGCACGUCUUGACGGUACCUAAUCAGAAAGCCACGGCUAACUACGUG
rnacentral:rRNA from 1 species